rnacentral:rRNA from 1 species
GACGAACGCUGGCGGCGUGCUUAACACAUGCGAGUCGAACGGAAAGGCCCCUUCGGGGGUACUCGAGUGGCGAACGGGUGAGUAACACGUGAGUAACCUGCCCUUGACUUCGGGAUAACUUCAGGAAACUGGGGCUAAUACCGGAUAGGAAUCCUUGCUGCAUGGUGGGGGUUGGAAAGCUUCGGCGGUUUUGGAUGGACUCGCGGCUUAUCAGCUUGUUGGUGGGGUAGUGGCUUACCAAGGCCUUGACGGGUAGCCGGCCUGAGAGGGCGACCGGCCACAUUGGGACUGAGAUACGGCCCAGACUCCUACGGGAGGCAGCAGUGGGGAAUAUUGCACAAUGGGCGGAAGCCUGAUGCAGCAACGCCGCGUGCGGGAUGACGGCCUUCGGGUUGUAAACCGCUUUCAGCAGGGGCGAAGCUUGUGGUGACGGUACCUGCAGAAGAAGCACCGGCUAACUACGUG